AGGAAAGUCUAAGUCCCUUAUAGAUAAACGCAUAGCGUUGUGAGUGCGGUAACGUUAGCGCUUAGGUAAGUGAGUGGGGAUAACAGAUUGUUAUUAUUUUUAUUUUCCCCUCCCCCCGUUUCUCUCACAACGAGAACGGAAGCGUUUGCCCCUCCGAGGUUUGUUUGAGGAUAAGGUUUAAUAUAUUGAAUACCGCUUGGGUUUUGUUCAGAAAAAUCACCGCGGGGUGUUGCUUCACUCAACUAAACUUAGCUUACCGCU
rnacentral:RNase_P_RNA from 1 species